UACGUAGGUGGCAAGCGUUGUCCGGAUUUACUGGGCGUAAAGAGCGCGCAGGCGGUCGUCCAAGUCGCGUGUGAAAGCCCCCGGCUCAACUGGGGAGGGUCACGCGAUACUGGUCGACUCGAAGGCAGGAGAGGGUAGUGGAAUUCCCGGUGUAGUGGUGAAAUGCGUAGAUAUCGGGAGGAACACCAGUGGCGAAGGCGACUACCUGGCCUGUUCUUGAUGCUGAGGCGCGAAAGCUAGGGGAGCAAACGGG
rnacentral:rRNA from 1 species